GUUGUUUCAUGCGGAGAAAGAGGUGUGUCUUCGAACAACAGCUAAAUUACUGUCCUUGGACUUCCCUAAGCUGUGUUUACAGGCCCUGGUGAGAUUACAACAAAAAGUGGAAAAGUAUAACAUCACAUUCAUGGUCAGUCAUCUGUGAGUCUUGAUCAUGAUUGUAUAUCAUCUCUCUGGUUGCUGAGCUGACCAGUGAAUUGCAGAAGAAAACAAAAUUGCACAGCAUAAUAAUAAAACCCUGUCAGUUUUCAGUGAAGAGAUUGAAAUGCAGAU